rnacentral:ncRNA from 1 species
AUCAGUGCAGAGAUUGAAUAUGAUUAAAAUACGGAAUUCAGCUUAAUUAGCUGUUUCUUUUGUUGAGAUAAUCUGCUUUCCUAACAACCUAUUAAAUUUAAUUUUUGUGACUAUUCUAAAUACCAAGGUGUAUUGCCUCUUUCAAGCUAUAUCGACGGGAUAAAACCCGUC